AGUAAAUAAUAGCAUAACAGUAAUCGAAUGAGGUAUUAUAAUGUAACGAUACGUUAUACUGAUAGGUUUAGAUGGGUUAUCACUGAAUGUGGCUAUUUAAAACUUGGGAUGUACAUGUACAUGUUUUCAUAUAUUCGUUUUACAUAUUACAUUAUCGUAUAGUAUGCAAUCUACACGUACGGAGUAUGAGUAAACAAGAAGUGAUUUUACAAAUACAACUUCAGUUCAUUCAGUAGUGUAUUCAUGGACAAGGAUUAGUAGUUAUCUCGUUACGAUAUUCGUGCCUAGAUGCAGAUGAUGCAAAAAGAAACAACCACAAGCAGCACAUGAACUUUUUUGUCGAACUUAUUUCAUAGCACUGUCGCCAUGGUAACAAGACAGGAACAGUUUCUGUCUAAGUGCGCAUGCAUAGUAUCUGUCAUUUGUCUGACAUACUUUUGGUAUAUUCUGGGACCCAGUUCGGACUAUUUCCUUGUGAAUAUAGUCUGUUUCGUAUUCAAAACUUUAGUUUCAGUUAUCGUAUGCAUUCCAGCAUUGUGGAUAAGCCUUUGGCGACCGAAAGAAUUGCUGGAAGACUUCGUGGAGCUAUGCAUUUACUACGGCUGGGCGUAUGUGUCACUUAAUCAGCACAUAAUAACUAUUGAGCGAAACGGCGAUCCAUAUUUCUUAAAAGACACAAUACGAGCAAAUAUAAAGCUGGCAUUGAUGCAAAUUGCGUUGGUCUUAUUCUUCAAAACAGAUGAAAGACACAGUCGUACUUUUGCAAAGUUGUCAACUACGAUUGGUGUUUUGGCGUCAGUACCUGAACUUCUGUGGUUGUCGAAUGUGAAUUACUUGCUGGGACAGUUUGUGUUUUUAAACUGUUCUUUCGAUUGGGUCUGCAGAACGUUCGAUAAGUUUGUCGGCAGAACGUUACAUAAUUAUAUUUCAUCCAGCAUCCGACCUGGCUUUGCAAUAGCCGAAUUCAUAACCAGGUUUUUAGUCUAUUUGCUACUGAUUUUGGGCAGGUGAAAUAGAUAUUUAAUAUAGUAUUUCGUAAUUCUUACAUUUACUCAUUUAGAAUCUUUUUUCUAACAUUUUCUUAAAAAAACAUGGCUAACGUUUUUAGUCAAUUUUUUAGAAACUAAAACAAAUUACGUUCGUAAAACAAUUCUGUUAUUGGAAAAAGCGAGUUAUUUUUAGAAAAUUACCAUCUACAAGGCAAACUUAAAAGAAUUACGUCCCUUGAAAACAAUGGGAGACAAUUAUAUUACUGCUUCAUGCGAGGUAGGGGACUUUUAUUGCUUGGCAAUAGUCUUGUUCUUCAUACAAAAUCUUUUUGAUAGCCUUUUACAUUUUCAUUCAGACAACUAAUCCUUUAACAUUUACUUUAAAAGAAACUUCCUUGUAUCUUGCAAAUAGACGUUCAGCGCGUUCUCGUUUCAGACUGUGCGCGUGAAGCCUUAGAGGCUUUUCCAAAUGUUUCUUCUGUUUCGUCGUUCUAAGUUGCUUGCCCUGUAUUGUUUGUGAUAUGCAGAUUAAAAAAUACUGAUGUUAAUUCUUUCGCAAAGAUUGAUUGCUCUUGCAUGAGUUAACAUUUUCAUUUUUCUUUAAUAUUUGUAACACAGAUUUUGAAAAUUGCAAUGUUACCGAUAUUUGAGCUGUCAAUGGAUAUGUUUGCCAAGUUACCUCCCAAGCGGUCAUCAUUAAAAUAAUGUUAACAUUUGUCCAUGUUACCUCCACAGCGGUAACCGCUACAAUCAUGCAAAACCUUUGUCCAGGUUACCGCCACAGCGGCAAACGCUACCAUCAUGUAAACAUCUCUCCAAGUUACUUUCACAGCGGUAACCGCUACAAUCAGGUAAACAUUUGUCCAGGUAACCUCUACAGCGGCAAACGCUACCAUCAUAUAAACAUCUCUCGAGAUUACCUUCACAGCGGUAACCGCUACAAUCAUGUUAACAUAUGUCCUGGUACUCCACAGCGGCAAACGCUAACAUUAUAUAAACAUCUAUCCAAGUUACCACCACAGCGGUAACCGCUAUUAUCAUGUAACCAUCUCUCCAGGUUACCUCCACAAUGGCAAACGUAACCAUCAUGUAAACAUCUCUCCAGGUUACUUCCAUAGCGGUAAAUGCUAGAAUUAUGCAAACAUCAGUCCAGAUUACUUCCAUAGCGGUAAACGCUACCAUCAUGUUGACAUCUCUCCAGGUUACUUCCAUAGCGGUAAACGCCAGAAUUCUGUAAACAUCUGCCAAUAAUACUUCCAUAGCGGUAAACGCUACAAUCAUGUAAACAUCUGCCAAUAAUACGUCCAUAGCGGUAAACGCUACCAUCAUGUAAACAUCUCUCCAGAUUAAUCCAAUAAGUUUUAGACUGUCAAUUGACACACACACUAAGUAUUGAAAGUCAUACCAUGAGCUUUCGUCCGUGUACUACGUACUUCAUCAGCAGAAUGAAUAUCUACUGUUGGGAAACGUUAACACCGCUAAUUGUCGGGCUGGGGGAUGGUAAAGUAUGGUCCCAGGUAUGCGAGAGUUGGUAGCGGCCCCCGUCCUUGUUUAGCGCCGGUCUAAGUGCAAGGAUGUAAAUAGCCUCCUUGAUCCUUCUCUCGAACCAAGAUGGCUCACGGUCCAGAAUCCUAACGUUCUCCAUUGUGAUUGGCUGGCCCGGUUUACAGUCCUGUAUAUGCAUUGAGACCUCAGAUGAUGUUGAACUCGGUCUCCUGUGUUCUGUACCAUAACACAUCCUCAAAUAAAGUCGAUGAAUAGUU